UCAAAAAGUUGUUCUCAAACAUAGCCUGAAGAGUUUUUUCUGUCUUCUUUCCAAUUUUGCAGUCAGUCCAUCAUCUUAAAAGAGAUACAGUUCCCUAUAUCAAAACCACUCAACUGUUUCUGUGAAGAUCCUGCAUCAACAAAGACCCCCAUUCUUCCUGACACUGGAGACGUUGUCCUGGCCCGAGUGAUAUCUGUGUCCUGUGCCAGAGCGAGACCAGGCGGCAUAAGAGGAUCCAUGCAUCGUGGCAUAGCACGGAUUUCCCCCAGGGUCUCUCCGAAAUCCCUGAAUAAUGCACACGGAGUGAAGGGCUUAAAGGGGCUGUAUGAUGGAUCACUCUUCUUUUUC
rnacentral:lncRNA from 1 species